rnacentral:lncRNA from 15 species
AUGAAGUCGAUUCUGCCAUCUUCACCUCACCUACUAUCUGCUCAGGAAGUUGCUGUUGCUAUAGAGACACGCCUGCAAACAAGAGAAGAAGAUAUAUGGCCCAGCUGGAAGAUUGGAGGUAAAGCUUCUCAUGACUUGAAGAAAUUACUUCUGGUGUUGAUGAUGACGCUGCCAGGAUCCCCUGCAGUCCAGUAUGACGAAGACAUCGACCAAACACAGAACGUGUCUCUGAAGGCCGGCUCGUCACAUGGAGAGAUGAAUGAACCAUCAGACACUCGUACAGACAAGAAGAAGGCGAAGCGUUUAGCUGUAGCUCUCUUUACCUCCCUCAGUCGCUCCAGAGCCAGAGAAGAAGCUCUUCUGUACGGCAGCUUCACUUUCCUCCCCUUCAAUUCCUCCACCAACUCCUCCACCAACUCCUCCACCUCCACGCUACCCUCUCCUCCAUCUCUUGCAGUCCUGGCCUACUUGCGCUCCUGGGGUUGUGUUCACUUCCUCAUCCUGCUCAACGUCGGGCCUGAGGUUCAUGCCCUGGAUCCUGCCUGGGCCCCGAGUCUACCUAAAGCUGGAGUGUUUGUGUCAAGCACAGGAAUGGACCGUUUAGGAGCAAUGACUCUGGACACGUUGGAGCUGCAGCCCCACGAAGCCAUCGUCAUCAAACUGUUUGAGGCAGGAAGCUACUCGUAG